UGAGGAAUAUUGGACAAUGGGCGCAAGCCUGAUCCAGCCAUGCCGCGUGCAGGAAGUAGCAUCUAUGGUGUGUAAACUGCUUUUGUACGGGAAGAAACACUCCUACGUGUAGGAGCUUGACGGUACCGUAAGAAUAAGGAUCGGCUAACUCCGUGCCAGCAGCCGCGGUAAUACGGAGGAUCCAAGCGUUAUCCGGAAUCAUUGGGUUUAAAGGGUCCGUAGGCGGUUUAGUAAGUCAGCGGUGAAAGCCCAUCGCUCAACGAUGGAACGGCCAUUGACACUGCUAGACUUGAGUUAUUAGGAAGUAACUAGAAUAUGUAGUGUAGCGGUGAAAUGCUUAGAUGUUACAUGGAAUACCAAUUGCGAAGGCAGGUUACUACUAAUGGAUUGACGCUGAUGGACGAAAGCGUGGGGAGCGAACA
rnacentral:rRNA from 1 species